ACUCUCUCAGCUCUGAUCUCAUACGUCACUGAUUAAUCUGCUGGUUUUCAUAAUGAAAAGAACUGAAACACCAACUAAUAGUUCCACUAUUUUUCUCUAAAGUUUAUUUAUUUAUUGUUCUUUCUUGCAGGAAUGUAAACUCUGACCUGGAAGCAGUUCAGUAACACCACAGUCCUCCUCACCUGCCCCUCAGAUUUUCAGUUUAUUCCGUCAACGGGAGAAAAACAGGAGUUUACCGUAACUCAGCGUGGUGAAGCUGUGGAGGCCACGCCGGACCGUGAUAGGCUGAGACGGAUGUCCAUCAGACAAACACGCCCUUCUGUAAAGAUUCUAUUAUAAAACGAUAACUGACUGGACGGUUGGAGAUGAAGCGGUUCUGGUCGCUAUUAGCAGUCCUGAAGAAGAAGAUUUCUGGCAGGUGAUUGUGGAUUUAUGAAGGAAUGUGAGAGCGUGUCGUGACCUUUGACCCCUCAGCUGUUCCCUCAGGGGUUAAAACACUGAGCAGGGCAGCUGGGAUCAUCACACAUCCUGUCCAUCUGAACGUCGACCCAGAACCAGCAGCGCUGAGGCAGAUAUGGAUUCACCUGCUGAGGAAAACAUGCAUUCAGACAGCCGGCCUCUCCUGUUGUCUCCUCUCAUUUAUUCAUGUGUUUUGUGGGCAGUAGAGUGAAACUGUGGUCCGGUGGAUGAGUGGCCCGGCUCAUGAAAUAUUCACCCCGACAGUAAACACUCCCAGGACGGCGCGCAGGAGGAAAACAUGGGGAUGAAGUGAAACCAGGAAAAAACGGAUCCUGUUUCUCCAGGAAGUUUAAAGGAAAAACAACUUAAAUUCCCUUCACAAUAAAACCUGCUUGUAAA